CAGUCGCCGCGGUAAUACGAGGGGGGCAAGCGUUGUUCGGAAUUAUUGGGCGUAAAGGGCGCGUAGGCGGUUUGGCAAGUUUCGUGUGAAAUCUUCGGGCUCAACUCGAAGUCUGCACGGAAAACUGCCGGGCUUGAGUAUGGGAGAGGUGAGUGGAAUUUCCGGUGUAGCGGUGAAAUGCGUAGAUAUCGGAAGGAACAUCUGUGGCGAAGGCGACUAUCUGGGCCAACACUGACACUGAGGCACGAAAGCGUGGGGAGCAAACAGGAUUAGAUACCCUAGUAGUCCCUGUCUCUUAUAC
rnacentral:rRNA from 1 species